CUGGCGGGCGCAACGCAGCGGGGGGUGCAUCGCUGCUGCUACGGCUUUGGCAUUUUGUCAAACACGACGCAAGCACGACAGCGCAGGGAGUACACUGUUGUCGCUUGGCGGGUUGAGGAGUAUGGGGUGGCUCUAGGGAGGGAGCUCCUUGCUGCAGGCAUGCAUGGGAGAGGGACGCCUGCACUUGGGGAGGGCGCUGGCUGGGAGAGGGGCUCGGCCAUGGCAAGAACAGAGAAGGAGGAGGGAGAUGUGCUGCUGUUGGGCGCCGGCAAGGGGAAGCUGCAGGGGUGGCGCCCAUGGGAUCUUCUCCCACUGCGCCAGGGAGGAGAUGGGAGCAGAGAGCUUGGGCGCCAUGGCUGCUGGGCGAAGCUGGGGCUCGGUCUGCAACAGUGGGGGUCGGCAAUGGGGAAGAAGCUCUCUGCUGGAAAUUCAGGGCGCCAUGGAGCAAGAAGCAGAGGAAGCCGUGACCAAGGGGAGAGAAGGGGGCGCUGUGCACAGGGGGUAGGGGGAGGCGCCUGCUGGCUUGAGGAAGAAGGGGAGGAGGGCGCCAUGGAUCAGCGCUCGCCCACGCCAUGGACAGCAGAGGGAAACGUUGGGGGAGCUCGAUUACUGGCCGACCAUGGAGAAGACGACUCCCUGCUGUAG
rnacentral:misc_RNA from 1 species